GGGUGAGUAACGCGUAGGUAACCUGCCUACUAGCGGGGGAUAACUAUUGGAAACGAUAGCUAAUACCGCAUAACAGCUUUUAACUCAUGUUAGGAGCUUGAAAGAUGCAAUUGCAUCACUAGUAGAUGGACCUGCGUUGUAUUAGCUAGUUGGUGAGGUAACGGCUCACCAAGGCGACGAUACAUAGCCGACCUGAGAGGGUGAUCGGCCACACUGGGACUGAGACACGGCCCAGACUCCUACGGGAGGCAGCAGUAGGGAAUCUUCGGCAAUGGGGGCAACCCUGACCGAGCAACGCCGCGUGAGUGAAGAAGGUUUUCGGAUCGUAAAGCUCUGUUGUAAGAGAAGAACGUGUGUGAGAGUGGAAAGUUCACACAGUGACGGUAACUUACCAGAAAGGGACGGCUAACUACGUGCCAGCAGCCGCGGUAAUACGUAGGUCCCGAGCGUUGUCCGGAUUUAUUGGGCGUAAAGCGAGCGCAGGCGGUUUAAUAAGUCUGAAGUUAAAGGCAGUGGCUUAACCAUUGUUCGCUUUGGAAACUGUUAGACUUGAGUGCAGAAGGGGAGAGUGGAAUUCCAUGUGUAGCGGUGAAAUGCGUAGAUAUAUGGAGGAACACCGG
rnacentral:rRNA from 1 species